UUACGGCCACAUCACGUUUAAACACCGGCUCCCGUACGAUCAACGAAGAUAAGCAACGUCGAGCCUGGUUAGUAGCUAGAUGGGUGACCGCAUAGGAAUACUAGGCGCUGUAA